GAAGCGGAAGUAGGUCGUUUGCAGUUUCUCGGAAGAUGGCGGCGGCCGGUCCGGCUCCCGGUCCCGUGGACGAGCUGGUCUCGUCGGUGACGCUUUACCGCCGGCGGCCGAGGCUUCUUCACGGCACCGUGUUGCCCUUCGUGGCGGGGCUCUACCCGGCCUGGUUGUGGCUGUGGGGACCGCGCGUAUGGGCGGCAUGGGGGGAGGCGACGGCCGCCGCGGCGGUGGAGGAGGAGGGCCCGAAACCGGGACCGGGCCCCGCGCCCCCCGAAGCCGCAUUGCUGGCGCUCGCCGCUAUCGGUGUCGUCCAUCUGCUGACGGCUCUCUCGGGGCUGUGGUCGGUGCACGCUCACUGCGCCCUCACCUGCGUCCGGGAACCUUGUCCUAAGAAAGCCACAUUGGCUAAAGUUGUGCCAACCCCAAAUAAUGGAUCAGUAGAACUAGUGCCACUCCACCGAGACCAGGGUGAGGAUGGGCAGGAGGCUCUUUCCUUUGAAUUUCAGAAAAUCAAAUACUCGUAUGAGAUAGACGGCAAGAAACAGUUUCUUCCUGUAGCUUUCCCUGUGGAACAUCCCCUUUGUUACUACCAGAAUGCCCGAGGCUAUCAGGAGGACAAAGAUAUUCGAGCAGCUGAGAAGAAAUACGGUACAAACAAGGCUGAGAUGGUGGUGCCGGAGUUCUUGGAACUCUUUAAAGAGCGAGCUACAGCUCCAUUCUUCGUCUUUCAGGUGUUCUGUGUGGGUUUGUGGUGCCUGGAUGAAUACUGGUAUUACAGUGUUUUCACCCUCUCCAUGUUGGUUGCGUUUGAAGCUUCUCUGGUCCAGCAGCAAAUGAGGAACAUGUCGGAGAUUCGAAAAAUGGGCAACAAGCCGUACAUGAUCCAGGUUUACAGAAACCGCAAGUGGCGCCCCAUUUCCAGUGAUGAGAUUAUUCCAGGGGACAUCGUUUCCAUUGGGCGAUCUCCUCAUGAAAAUCUAGUGCCGUGCGAUGUGCUGCUGUUACGUGGAAGGUGUAUUGUAGACGAAGCUAUGCUGACGGGAGAGUCUGUGCCACAGAUGAAGGAGCCUGUGGAGGAUCUCAGUCCAGAGCACGUCUUGGACAUGCAGACAGAUUCCCGGUUACACAUCAUAUUUGGCGGAACAAAAGUGGUGCAGCACAUCCCGCCCCAGAAAGCCAGCACAGGACUGAAACCUGUCGAUAAUGGGUGUGUGGCGUAUGCUCUGAGGACCGGCUUCAACACAUCUCAGGGGAAAUUGCUACGUACAAUCCUCUUUGGGGUGAAGAGAGUGACAGCCAAUAACUUAGAGACCUUCAUUUUCAUCCUGUUCCUGCUGGUCUUUGCCAUUGCUGCUGCAGCAUACGUCUGGAUUGAAGGCACCAAGGAUCCUAGCAGGAACCGUUACAAGCUCUUCCUGGAGUGUACUUUAAUACUGACUUCGGUCGUUCCACCUGAACUUCCCAUUGAGCUCUCUCUGGCUGUCAACACCUCCCUCAUUGCCUUGGCCAAGCUCUACGUGUACUGUACAGAGCCCUUCCGCAUCCCCUUUGCAGGCAAAGUUCAAGUUUGCUGUUUUGACAAAACCGGCACAUUAACCAGCGAUCACCUUGUAGUGAGAGGAGUAGCUGGGCUCAGGGAUGGGAAGGAAGUGACACCAGUAUCUGACAUUCCUGUAGAAACCCACCGAGCGAUUGCUACUUGCCACUCACUUGUACAGUUGGAUGAUGGGACGCUGGUGGGAGAUCCGUUAGAGAAGGCAAUGUUGAUGGCUGUGGACUGGACCCUGACCAAAGAUGAGAAAGUUUUCCCCAGAAGUAUUAAAACUCAGGGACUGAAAAUUCACCAGCGCUUUCAUUUUGCCAGUGCCCUGAAAAGAAUGUCUGUCUUGGCGUCGUACGAGAAGAUCGGCUCGACUGAUCUCUGUUACAUUGCAGCUGUGAAAGGGGCCCCAGAGACGCUACACAAAAUGUUGUCUCAGUGCCCAAGCAACUACCAUGCUGUCCACAAGGAAAUUUCACAUGAGGGGGCAAGAGUGCUGGCCCUUGGCUACAAAGAACUGGGGCACCUCACUCACCAGCAGGUGCGAGAGAUGAAACGUGAAGCUUUGGAGUGUGAUCUUAGGUUUGUUGGAUUCAUUGUGGUUUCCUGUCCUCUCAAAGCGGACUCCAAAUCCGUCAUCAGGGAGAUCCAGAAUGCAUCACACCACGUAGUGAUGAUAACAGGAGACAAUCCUCUCACUGCCUGCCAUGUGGCCCGGGAGCUACACUUCCUCCAGAGGGAGCGCACCCUCAUUCUGCAGCCUCCUGUGAGCAAAGGCUCCAGCUGGCAGUGGCAGUCCAUUGAUGGUGCUGUCAUGCUCCCAAUCUUGCCAAACUCCUUGCGAGAGCUGACGCAGCGGUAUGACCUGUGCAUAACUGGGGAAGGUCUCUCUCACCUACAGUCUGUGAACAGACAGCAGCUGCUGAAACUCAUACCACACAUCCAGGUGUUUGCCAGAGUGGUGCCAAAGCAGAAGGAGUUUGUAAUCACUACUCUGAAGAGCCUGGGCUAUGUCACGCUGAUGUGUGGGGAUGGGACCAAUGAUGUCGGAGCUCUGAAACAUGCGGAUGUGGGAGUGGCACUGCUGGCAAAUGCUCCUGAGAGACUGCCCGAACGGAAGAAGAGAACCCGAGAUGGACCCAGUGAUGGGAGGCCUGCCCUGCCGUCGAUGGGGAGUGGGACUGUGAAGCCCACCUCCCGUGGUGCCAAGCACAGAGUCAUGUCCCAAAGAGAGGAACAGCUGGCAAUUCAGAGGGAGCGGAUCAGUCAGGUCCUGAAGGAUUUGGAAGAGGAGCGUGUACCAGUCGUGAAGUUGGGUGAUGCCAGCAUUGCGGCCCCCUUUACCUCCAAGCUCUCUUCCAUUCAGUGCAUCUGCCACGUGAUCAAGCAAGGUCGUUGCACGCUAGUGACAACACUCCAAAUGUUCAAGAUCCUUGCCCUGAACGCCCUGAUCCUUGCUUACAGCCAGAGUGUCCUCUACUUGGAAGGGGUGAAGUUCAGUGAUUUUCAGGCAACUCUGCAGGGUCUGCUGUUGGCUGGCUGCUUCCUUUUCAUCUCCAGGUCGAAGCCUUUGAAGACACUUUCCAAGGAGCGCCCGCUGCCAAACAUCUUUAACCUUUACACGGUCCUGACAGUGCUGCUGCAGUUCCUUGUGCAUUUCCUCAGCCUCGUUUACCUGUACCGCAGUGCCCAGGCACGCAGCGAUUCCAAACAGGAGGAGUUUGUGGAUCUGUACAAGGAGUUUGAGCCCAGCCUUGUGAACAGCACUGUCUACAUCAUGUCGAUGGCAAUGCAGAUGGCCACGUUUGCUAUCAACUACAAGGGCCAUCCUUUUAUGGAGAGUCUACAGGAGAACAAGCCUUUACUGUGGAGCAUCGUCCUUUCAGGGCUUGCCAUCGUGGGUCUUCUCACGGGCUCUUCGCCAGAAUUCAAUGAACAGUUUGGCUUGGUAGAAAUCCCUACUGAGUUCAAGAUUGUGAUCACCGAAGUGUUGCUGGCUGAUUUCUUCCUCGCCUUGCUAGUGGACCGAAUUCUGCAGUUUCUGCUGGGGAGCGCAAAACUUAAAGUGCCUUCCUGAAACGGAUUCCGAGGUCCCUCGCCCCCAGCAGCACUAUACGAAGGACAGCACCCAGGGCCGCCUUUCGCCAUCACGAGAAGAAUCAUCCUUAAUUCUUUUGACAAUAACUCUGAUCCUGUUCAGAAACAGGCGUGGGGAGGCUUUCUUCCAAAUCAUGCGGACACCACCUCUGUGAAACAAGACCUGACUUUUUAAUGUUUGCAGGACGUACUACCAACUGUCGGGAGUUUUGUACUGCCCUAACGUUUAAGGAAACGUUUACAGAAUUUGAUGAAGAACCACUUUACCUGAGAGGCCGUAGAUGUUGGAGGUGUCGUACAGAGAUUCAUGCUGAGAAGCGCGUUUGAUGCUGCAUCGAGCCGCGCGUGACCUGUAGCAGAUUGGAAUAAUUAACGGUCGGAGCAUUAGCAGCAUGCAGUGGGUAACGAGCCCCACACCAGGGAAAUGGAAACGGUGAGGUGAC